rnacentral:rRNA from 1 species
CCUACGGGAGGCAGCAGUGGGGAAUAUUGCACAAUGGGGGCAACCCUGAUGCAGCGACGCCGCGUGCAGGAAGAAGGAUUUCGGUAUGUAAACUUCUAUCAGCAGGGAAGAAAAUGACGGUACCUGACUAAGAAGCCCCGGCUAACUACGUGCCAGCAGCCGCGGUAAUACGUAGGGGGCAAGCGUUAUCCGGAUUUACUGGGUGUAAAGGGAGCGUAGGCGGCGAUGGAAGUCAGAAGUGAAAGCCCGGGGCUCAACUCCGGGACUGCUUUUGAAACUGUGUUGCUUGAUUGCAGGAGAGGUAGGUGGAAUUCGUAGGGUAGCGGUGAAAUGCGUAGAUAUUACGAGGAACACCGGUGGCGAAGGCAGCUUACUGGACUGUAAAUGACGCUGAGGCUCGAAAGCGUGGGGAGCGAACAGGAUUAGAUACCCGGGUAGUC